rnacentral:rRNA from 1 species
GGGUUUACUUAUUGGUCAGGCUUAAUUGUCUGUACUGGUGAGAUGGAUCUCUACCUUCUGAGGAACUUUCAUGCCAUUUAUUUGGUGCGAUGGGAAAUCAGGACUGUUACCUUGAGAAAAUUAGAGUGUUCAAAGCAGGCCUAUGCCUGAAUACAUUAGCAUGGAAUAAUAAAAUAGGACGUGCGGUUCUAUUUUGUUGGUUUCUAGAGUCGCCGUA